rnacentral:rRNA from 1 species
GAGCUGGGUUCAGAACGUCGCGAGACAGUUCGGUCCCUAUCUGUUGUGGGCGUUAGAAGCUUGAGAGGACCUGACCUUAGUACGAGAGGACCGGGUUGGACAGACCUCUAGUGUACCUGUUGUGGCGCCAGCUGCACCGCAGGGUAGCUAUGUCUGGAUGAGAUAAGCACUGAAAGCAUCUAAGUGCGAAACUUACCUCAAGAUGAGGCUUCUUUUAAGGGUCGUUAUAGACGAUGACGUUGAUAGGCUACAGGUGUAAAGACAGUGAUGUCAAAGCCGAGUAGUACUAAUUACCCGUAGCUUUCUGAU